GAGUUUGAUCAUGGCUCAGGACGAACGCUGGCGGCGUGCCUAAUACAUGCAAGUCGAGCGGAACCAUUGGAGCUUGCUCCUUUGGUUUAGCGGCGGACGGGUGAGUAACACGUGGGCAACCUGCCCUGCAGAUCGGGAUAACUCCGGGAAACCGGUGCUAAUACCGAAUAGUUUGCGGCCUCUCCUGAGGCUGCACGGAAAGACGGCAUCUCGCUGUCACUGCAGGAUGGGCCCGCGGCGCAUUAGCUAGUUGGUGGGGUAAUGGCCUACCAAGGCAACGAUGCGUAGCCGACCUGAGAGGGUGAUCGGCCACACUGGGACUGAGACACGGCCCAGACUCCUACGGGAGGCAGCAGUAGGGAAUCUUCCGCAAUGGACGAAAGUCUGACGGAGCAACGCCGCGUGAGUGACGAAGGUUUUCGGAUCGUAAAACUCUGUUGUGAGGGAAGAACAAGUACCAACUAACUAUUGGUACCCUUGACGGUACCUCACCAGAAAGCCACGGUAACUACGUGCCAGCAGCCGCGGUAAUACGUAGGUGGCAAGCGUUGUCCGGAAUUAUUGGGCGUAAAGCGCGCGCAGGCGGUUUUUAAGUCUGAUGUGANAGCCCACGGGUCAACCGUGGAGGGUCUUGGAAAACUGGGGAGAAACUUGAGUUACCGAACGAGGAAAGUGGGCAUUCCCCUGUGGUUAGCGGGUGAAUGCGUUACAGAUUGUGGGGGAACCACCAGUUG
rnacentral:rRNA from 1 species